UUCCGGUUGAUCCUGCCGGACCUGACUGCUAUCGGAUUGAUACUAAGCCAUGCGAGUCUUUGUAGUAAUACAAGGCAGACGGCUCAGUAACACGUAGUCAACCUACCCUAUGGACAAGAAUAAUCUCGGGAAACUGGGCAUAAUUCUUGAUAGAUCAUAAUGCCUGGAAUGGUUUAUGGUUAAAAUGAUUCGUCGCCAUAGGAUGGGACUGCGGCCUAUCAGCUUGUUGGUGAGGUAAUGGCCCACCAAGGCGAUUACAGGUACGGGCUCUGAGAGGAGAAGCCCGGAGAUGGGUACUGAGACACGGACCCAGGCCCUAUGGGGCGCAGCAGGCGAGAAAACUUUGCAAUGUGCGAAAGCACGACAAGGUUAAUCCGAGUGAUUUCUGCUAAAGAAAUCUUUUGCCAGUCAUAAAACCACUGGUGAAUAAGGGGUGGGCAAGUUCUGGUGUCAGCCGCCGCGGUAAAACCAGCACCUCAAGUGGUCAGGAUGAUUAUUGGGCCUAAAGCAUCCGUAGCCGGCUUUGUAAGUUUUCGGUUAAAUCCAUGUGCUCAACGCAUGGGCUGCCGAAAAUACUGCAUGGCUAGGGAGUGGGAGAGGUAGACGGUACUCAGUAGGAAGGGGUAAAAUCCUUUGAUCUAUUGAUGACCACCUGUGGCGAAGGCGGUCUACCAGAACACGUUCGACGGUGAGGGAUGAAAGCUGGGGGAGCAAACCGGAUUAGAUACCCGGGUAGUCCCAGCUGUAAACGAUGCAGACUCGAUGAUGCAUUGGCAUAAUAGCCAGUGCAGUGUCGCAGGGAAGCCGUUAAGUCUGCCGCCUGGGAAGUACGUACGCAAGUAUGAAACUUAAAGGAAUUGGCGGGGGAGCACCACAAGGGGUGAAGCCUGCGGUUCAAUUGGAUUCAACGCCGGG
rnacentral:rRNA from 1 species